UGCCGGAUCGUCUAAUGGUAGGACUCUAGUUUUUGGUGCUAGCUAUCUAGGUUCGAGUCCUAGUCCGGCAGCAA
rnacentral:tRNA from 1 species